rnacentral:lncRNA from 1 species
ACCUCGUUUGCAUUUGGCCUCUACCACUUUAGUCAGCCUCCCUGGGCCUUGGUUUUCUCUACUGCAAGUGAGGCCCUAGUUUUCGACCCUAUUGGACUCUAUUUUCUAGUCCUUGAAAAUGCUUCUCUCUUAAUUGUGAUACGACCUUGGCUUCUUUCCUUCUUCCAUGUCAUACCUGCUUUUUUCUCUUUUCUCCUGACUCCUCUUCAGCUCACCAAUUAAAGGUUGACAUCCCCAUUGUUUUACCUCCUCCUCCUCUCCCUGGGUGAUCUUAUCCCCUCUCUGGUUUUUAACCAUUACCUGCAGGCUGAGGGCUCCCAAAUCUCUUCUUUAAUCUAGAUGUUUAUCCUAAGCUCCAGUUUCAUCUUUCCACCUGGGACCUCUCUACCUGAAUGUACUAAAGGCAUGUCAAAGUCAGUCUAAAUUGAUUCCAGAAUCUUCUUCCCUUUCUCCACAUUGUCUCCUCUUCCAGAAUAGCCAGUUCUUGGUUUACUCCUCAUCUACUCAACUGCUGAAGCCAGAAGCCUAGGAGCCCUCCUUCCCUUAUCUGGCACCCUGGUUUAAUCACCCAGGUUUAUUAAUUCUGCCUCCCAAAUAUUUUCCCUAUGUCUCCCUGCUCUCCAUCUCCAUCACCACCACUUUAGGUUAGGCCUUCAUUACUUCUUACCUAAAUUAUUACAAGAGCCUUCUUCUUGGUCCCCUGCCACCCAUUUCCAACCUAGACUCCAAGGGUUGGAAACCAUAAGAGUGUCUCACAUUUUAUGUUUUAUUAAAUAAGUAUAUAUUGAGUACUUACCAUUGCAGGCACUGUGCAGGGUGCAGGAAUGCAACAGAGAACACAACAGACAUUGUUCCUUACCACCAGUACUCACAGCGUAUGGAGGAGGAGGGAAAAGUACAGGAUAUGGAUCAUUAAGAUGCAGUGCAAUGGGGAAAGAUGGAAUAGGUGCUUGGGAACUUCUAGAAGCAUAAGCUGAGAGCUGGCUGAGUCCCAGGGUGGUCAAGGAACACUUUCUGAAGGAAAAGAAUCUCACACUCAGACUGCUCAUUGGGUGGGAAUUAAGAGAAGUGGGAGUAUGGUAGUGAAAUGCUCUCUGAUAAAUUUGAUCAUCUCAUUUCCCUGCUAAACAGACCUCUUGAGCUUUUCCACUGCUGCAGGAUAAAGUCCGAAUUCUUUACCAUGGAAUACAACCAUUGUUGCCUCAUCUUCUACCACACCCUUUCAUUUACUGUAAUCAACCUAUGCUGCUUUCAGUUCCCCAAACCCCACACUCUUUCUCAGCUCCAGGCCUUUGCACAUUUGGUUUCCUCCACCCUUGCCAUCCAAUGUCCCAUAGCCUAUCUAUCAAGCUCUGAGUCACUGACAUCAGCUGUCUCAGGAGACCUUCCCUGAUCCCGCCCAUGUAGACUUUGUGGCUCCCUCUCUUGUGUUCCCUGCCUGUGCACACACCUGGACUCACGCACAUGUCACAUUGGUAGGGCUCAUCCACAUGUCUUUCUUGCUUCUGACUGCUAUUUCAGGAUCCCAGUUCAU